rnacentral:rRNA from 1 species
AUUGAACGCUGGCGGCAGGCCUAACACAUGCAAGUCGAGCGGAUGAAGGGAGCUUGCUCCUGGAUUCAGCGGCGGACGGGUGAGUAAUGCCUAGGGAUCUGCCUGGUAGUGGGGGAUAACGUCCGGAAACGGGCGCUAAUACCGCAUACGUCCUGAGGGAGAAAGUGGGGGAUCUUCGGACCUCACGCUAUCAGAUGAGCCUAGGUCGGCUUAGCUAGUUGGUGGGGUAAAGGCCUACCAAGGCGACGAUCCGUAACUGGUCUGAGAGGAUGAUCAGUCACACUGGAACUGAGAGACGGUCCAGACUCCUACGGGAGGCAGCAGUAGGGAAUAUUGGAAAGUGGGAGAAAGCCUGAUCCAGCCAUGCCGCGUGUGUGAAGAAGGUAUUCGGAUUGUAAAGCACUUUAAGUUGGGAGGAAGGGCAGUAAGUUAAUACCUUGCUGUUUUGACGUUACCAACAGAAUAAGCACCGGCUAACUUCGUG